GACGAACGCUGGCGGCGUGCCUAAUACAUGCAAGUAGAACGCUGAAGGAGGAGCUUGCUCUUCUGGAUGAGUUGCGAACGGGUGAGUAACGCGUAGGUAACCUGCCUGGUAGCGGGGGAUAACUAUUGGAAACGAUAGCUAAUACCGCAUAACAGUAGAUAUCGCAUGAUAGCUGCUUGAAAGGUGCAAUUGCACCACUACCAGAUGGACCUGCGUUGUAUUAGCUAGUUGGUGAGGUAACGGCUCACCAAGGCAACGAUACAUAGCCGACCUGAGAGGGUGAUCGGCCACACUGGGACUGAGACACGGCCCAGACUCCUACGGGAGGCAGCAGUAGGGAAUCUUCGGCAAUGGACGGAAGUCUGACCGAGCAACGCCGCGUGAGUGAAGAAGGUCUUCGGAUCGUAAAGCUCUGUUGUAAGAGAAGAACGAGUGUGAGAGUGGAAAGUUCACACUGUGACGGUAUCUUACCAGAAAGGGG
rnacentral:rRNA from 1 species